GACGAACGCUGGCGGCGUGCUUAACACAUGCAAGUCGAACGGAAAGGCCCUGCUUUUGUGGGGUGCUCGAGUGGCGAACGGGUGAGUAACACGUGAGUAACCUGCCCUUGACUUUGGGAUAACUUCAGGAAACUGGGGCUAAUACCGGAUAGGAGCUCCUGCUGCAUGGUGGGGGUUGGAAAGUUUCGGCGGUUGGGGAUGGACUCGCGGCUUAUCAGCUUGUUGGUGGGGUAGUGGCUUACCAAGGCUUUGACGGGUAGCCGGCCUGAGAGGGUGACCGGCCACAUUGGGACUGAGAUACGGCCCAGACUCCUACGGGAGGCAGCAGUGGGGAAUAUUGCACAAUGGGCGGAAGCCUGAUGCAGCAACGCCGCGUGCGGGAUGACGGCCUUCGGGUUGUAAACCGCUUUCGCCUGUGACGAAGCGUGAGUGACGGUAAUGGGUAAAGAAGCACCGGCUAACUACGUGCCAGCAGCCGCGGUGAUACGUAGGGUGCGAGCGUUGUCCGGAUUUAUUGGGCGUAAAGGGCUCGUAGGUGGUUGAUCGCGUCGGAAGUGUAAUCUUGGGGCUUAACCCUGAGCGUGCUUUCGAUACGGGUUGACUUGAGGAAGGUAGGGGAGAAUGGAAUUCCUGGUGGAGCGGUGGAAUGCGCAGAUAUCAGGAGGAACACCAGUGGCGAAGGCGGUUCUCUGGGCCUUUCCUGACGCUGAGGAGCGAAAGCGUGGGGAGUGAACAGGCUUAGAUACCCUGUAGUCCACGCUGUAAACGGUGGGUACUAGGUGUGGGGUCCAUUCCACGGGUUCCGUGCCGUAGCUAACGCUUUAAGUACCCCGCCUGGGGAGUACGGCCGCAAGGCUAAAACUCAAAGGAAUUGACGGGGCCCCGCACAAGCGGCGGAGCAUGCGGAUUAAUUCGAUGCAACGCGUAGAACCUUACCUGGGUUUGACAUGGAUCGGGAGUGCUCAGAGAUGGGUGUGCCUCUUUUGGGGUCGGUUCACAGGUGGUGCAUGGCUGUCGUCAGCUCGUGUCGUGAGAUGUUGGGUUAAGUCCCGCAACGAGCGCAACCCUUGUUCACUGUUGCCAGCACGUUAUGGUGGGGACUCAGUGGAGACCGCCGGGGUCAACUCGGAGGAAGGUGGGGAUGACGUCAAGUCAUCAUGCCCCUUAUGUCCAGGGCUUCACGCAUGCUACAAUGGCUGGUACAGAGAGUGGCGAGCCUGUGAGGGUGAGCGAAUCUCGGAAAGCCGGUCUCAGUUCGGAUUGGGGUCUGCAACUCGACCUCAUGAAGUCGGAGUCGCUAGUAAUCGCAGAUCAGCAACGCUGCGGUGAAUACGUUCCCGGG
rnacentral:rRNA from 1 species